rnacentral:rRNA from 1 species
AGCAGUGGGGAAUAUUGGACAAUGGGCGCAAGCCUGAUCCAGCCAUACCGCGUGGGUGAAGAAGGCCUUCGGGUUGUAAAGCCCUUUUGUUGGGAAAGAAAUCCAGCUGGCUAAUACCCGGUUGGGAUGACGGUACCCAAAGAAUAAGCACCGGCUAACUUCGUGCCAGCAGCCGCGGUAAUACGAAGGGUGCAAGCGUUACUCGGAAUUACUGGGCGUAAAGCGUGCGUAGGUGGUCGUUUAAGUCCGUUGUGAAAGCCCUGGGCUCAACCUGGGAACUGCAGUGGAUACUGGGCGACUAGAAUGUGGUAGAGGGUAGCGGAAUUCCUGGUGUAGCAGUGAAAUGCGUAGAGAUCAGGAGGAACAUCCAUGGCGAAGGCAGCUACCUGGACCAACACUGACACUGAGGCACGAAAGCGUGGGGAGCAAACAGGAUUAGAUACCCUGGUAGUCCACGCCCUAAACGAUGCGAACUGGAUGUUGGGUGCAAUUUGGCACGCAGUAUCGAAGCUAACGCGUUAAGUUCGCCGCCUGGGGAGUACGGUCGCAAGACUGAAACUCAAAGGAUUUGGACGGGG